GACGAACGCUGGCGGCGUGCUUAACACAUGCAAGUCGAACGGAAAGGCCCUGCUUUUGUGGGGUGCUCGAGUGGCGAACGGGUGAGUAACACGUGAGUAACCUGCCCUUGACUUUGGGAUAACUUCAGGAAACUGGGGCUAAUACCGGAUAGGAGCUCCUGCUGCAUGGUGGGGGUUGGAAAGUUUCGGCGGUUGGGGAUGGACUCGCGGCUUAUCAGCUUGUUGGUGGGGUAGUGGCUUACCAAGGCUUUGACGGGUAGCCGGCCUGAGAGGGUGACCGGCCACAUUGGGACUGAGAUACGGCCAAGACUCCUACGGGAGGCAGCAGUGGGGAAUAUUGCACAAUGGGCGGAAGCCUGAUGCAGCAACGCCGCGUGCGGGAUGACGGCCUUCGGGUUGUAAACCGCUUUCGCCUGUGACGAAGCGUGAGUGAGGGUAAUGGGUAAAGAAGCACCGGCUAACUACGUG
rnacentral:rRNA from 1 species